CACUAUGCCCAGCCUUAAACAUUGACAGUUAAUUACACCCACUGUCCGCCCGGGUACUACGAGCGCUAGCUUAAAACCCAAAGGACUUGGCGGUGCUUUAGACCCACCUAGAGGAGCCUGUUCUAGAACCGAUAAUCCCCGUUAAACCUCACCCUUCCUUGUUCUUUCCCGCCUAUAUACCACCGUCGUCAGCUUACCCUGUGAAGGCCCUAUAGUAAGCACAAUCGGCAAUGCCCAAUACGUCAGGUCGAGGUGUAGCGAAUGGAAGGGGAAGAAAUGGGCUACAUUUACUAAUACAGUAAAUACGGAUGAUCACCCUGCAACGAGUAUCUGAAGGAGGAUUUAGCAGUAAGCAAAAAAUAGAGCGUUUUGCUGAAAUUGGCCCUGAAGCGUGCACACACCGCCCGUCACUCUCCCCGAACUAAGAUCUAAAACAUAACUAAUAUGCUAUAAC
rnacentral:rRNA from 1 species